UUCCCAGGCACACAUAUCAUUGCUUCUGUUUAAUAACAUGUGAUUCCAAAGUAGGUUUGCUGCAGUCAUCCCUGAGCAAUAAGGAAUACCUGUGAUUCUCACACUUCAAAAACUGAAACACUAGAAUGAAAAUAAUAAAGUGAAGAAUGAAGAGGACGAUCAAAGUUAUCUGCUGCUAGCUCUGUGGAAGUAAUUUUCAUUUCCAGAAUUUCAAGGUUAUAUACAGCAACACAGCAGGUAAGACAGGCAUGUUACCUUCUCUGCUUCAACACACUUGUUUUGCUUGCUUGUAAUUGA